rnacentral:lncRNA from 1 species
UGGAUUGCACUAUUUGUGAGGACCUUACCUACUAAACAUAAAAACAAAUUCAUCUUCAGCUUCUAUUUCUUCUAAAAAAUCUCUAGCUGGUUCCUCCUCCUCUUCCAUUAUGCUUAAAUUUGCUAUCUCUUCUUCCAUAGCUGAUAUAUGCGAUUACUGAUUCUUAUUAUUUUUCUUUUAGUAUCGCAAAUCUGAAACAAAUGGCAGGAUUAUUUCAAACGUUCAACUUCCUCCUUUGUUAUAUAAUCAUUUGUAAUCUUUGAACAAAGAUAUGUCGCCG